rnacentral:siRNA from 1 species
AGACCCUAAUCUUUAGUUCCUAGA